rnacentral:rRNA from 1 species
GACGAACGCUGGCGGCGUGCUUAACACAUGCAAGUCGAGCGGUAAGGCCCUUUCGGGGUACGACGAGCGGCGAACGGGUGAGUAACACGUGGGUGACCUGCCCUCAGCUCUGGGAUAAGCCUGGGAAACCGGGUCUAAUACUGGAUAUGACUCCAUGACGCAUGUUGUGGGGUGGAAAGCCUUGUGCGGCUGAGGAUGGGCCCGCGGCCUAUCAGC